rnacentral:rRNA from 1 species
UACGUAGGGUGCGAGCGUUGUCCGGAAUUACUGGGCGUAAAGAGCUCGUAGGUGGUUUGUCGCGUUGUUCGUGAAAACCGGGGGCUUAACCCUCGGCGUGCGGGCGAUACGGGCAGACUUGAGUACUGCAGGGGAGACUGGAAUUCCUGGUGUAGCGGUGGAAUGCGCAGACAUCAGGAGGAACACCGGUGGCGAAGGCGGGUCUCUGGGCAGUAACUGACGCUGAGGAGCGAAAGCGUGGGGAGCGAUCAGG